UGCACUCAGGGGAAGUCACCCACCCAGUCUAGGGUUUCUGUUAGUCUCUCAGGGCUGGGUGUUUAUUCAAGUCCUUAAGCCAUCUGGACCUGUGGGCUGGACUUGGACGCCCUCUUCCUUGGAGUCCUUCCCCCUUUCCCUUCCAAGAUGGAAAGAGUUUAGCCUUACCACAGGAAGAGCUAUGCAGUGUGUUGAUGAGGGUGUUUCCUGAGAGGCUUAACUGAGGUAGCAAGUUCUAUCCUGGAUGAGGGCGAUGGCAGUCCCUGGACUGGAUGAAAAGAAGAAAGUGAGCUGAGCACCAGCGUUCAUCCCCUGCUUCCUGACUGCCUGCUCAUCGUGACCAGAUGUUUCACGUUCCUGUGGCCAUGCCGUCCUUGCCAUGAAGGAUUGUACUUCCUGACUGUGAGCCAAACAAAUGCUCCUUCCCUGAAGUUGCUUUUGUCAGAUAUUUGAUCACAGCUAUGAGAAAAGACCACUUGCCCAGGGAUGGCACCACCCACAGUGGGCUGGGCCCUCUCACAUCAAUCAUUAAUCAAGGAGAUGUCCUCACAGACUUGCCUGCAAGCUAGUCUGAUGGAGGCAUCCUCUCAAUUAAAGUUCCUUCUUCCCUGGACAAAAACUACAGUACAAGUGAUCAGUGGACACAUGAAAAGGUGUUCAUUUCUGUCAGCCUUCAAGGACACAAAUGGAGAUCAGAAUGAGAUUCGACUCCGUUCUCUCAAGAACAAGAAGGGAUGCUGUCAGGCCGUACCAAGUGCUGGUGAGCGUGUGGAAGCCAGACCUCUUACAUAGACACUGCUGACGGGACUGAAAACGGAGCAGCCAUGGGGAGGAGACGACUGCCACAUCUACUAAACUUAGAGUUUGUACAAAGUCCAUUCCUGGCAGAAAUGAGGACACGAGUUCAUUAAAGACAAACACAAAAUACACCCAUCGCACCACUGUUCAUUUGUGACAAUUCCAGACAAAAGCAGUUCAGCUGGCCCUCAAGAGUGGAGCAGAGUUAUAAAUGGUUGUUUGCUCAUAGAAUGGAAUGCUCUACUCCAUGGAAAUAAACUAACCACUAUUACACAUGA